GACGAACGCUGGCGGCGUGCCUAAUACAUGCAAGUCGAGCGCAGGAAAUCGACGGAACCCUUCGGGGGGAAGUCGACGGAAUGAGCGGCGGACGGGUGAGUAACACGUAAAGAACCUGCCCUCAGGUCUGGGAUAACCACGAGAAAUCGGGGCUAAUACCGGAUGGGUCAUCGGACCGCAUGGUCCGAGGAUGAAAGGCGCUUCGGCGUCGCCUGGGGAUGGCUUUGCGGUGCAUUAGCUAGUUGGUGGGGUAAUGGCCCACCAAGGCGACGAUGCAUAGCCGACCUGAGAGGGUGAUCGGCCACACUGGGACUGAGACACGGCCCAGACUCCUAUGGGAGGCAGCAGUAGGGAAUCUUCCACAAUGGACGAAAGUCUGAUGGAGCAACGCCGCGUGAACGAUGAAGGCCUUCGGGUCGUAAAGUUCUGUUGUAAGGGAAGAACAAGUGCCGCAGGCAAUGGCGGCACCUUGACGGUACCUUGCGAGAAAGCCACGGCUAACUACGUGCCAGCCGCCGCCGUAACAC
rnacentral:rRNA from 1 species